CAGGAAAGUCCAGGAACAGAGCAUUUUCUCCCUCAUGGAGAGAGAGGGUCAGGAACCAAAAAGGGUUUGAACGGAGCUACUCUUGGAAAUGGGAGUACGUUUGUCAUAUUUGAAACAGUCUAUGGCAAUAAAGAAAACACAGAACUGUCUCCAUAAAACUGUUUGACCAGUACUCCCUGACGAUGCUGGAACAUCCGCUUACAGAAAGAUUUGUAUGUGACUGUCUGUGCAACCUCCUCUG